rnacentral:rRNA from 1 species
UACGUAGGGUGCGAGCGUUGUCCGGAAUUCUUGGGCGUAAAGGGCUCGUAGGCGGUUUGUCGCGUCGGGUGUGAAAACCCAGGGCUUAACCCUGGGCUGGCUUCCGAUACGGGCAGACUAGAGGUAUGCAGGGGAGAACGGAAUUCCUGGUGUAGCGGUGAAAUGCGCAGAUAUCAGGAGGAACACCGGUGGCGAAGGCGGUUCUCUGGGCAUUACCUGACGCUGAGGAGCGAAAGUGUGGGGAGCGAACAGG